CAUGAAGCUGGAAUCGCUAGUAAUCGUAGAUCAGCAUGCUACGGUGAAUACGUUCCCGGGUCUUGUACACACCGCCCGUCACACCACGAGAGUUUGUAACACCCGAAGCCGGUGGAGUAACCUUUUAGGAGCUAGCCGUCGAAGGUGGGACAAAUGAUUGGGGUGAAGUCGUAACAAGGUAGCCGUAUCGGAAGGUGCGGCUGGAUCACCUCCUUUCUAAGGA
rnacentral:rRNA from 1 species